UAUAUGUGUGUGUGUGAUCCUCAGCUGCAGCUCGGCCGGACCCAGAUGAUCUAAGAACCCACCUCACUUUACGUUGCCAUCUUUUCCAGCGCUCUACAUACUAACAGCGUUACGUAAUUAAACAGUUAUAGAAAAAAAAAACGACCGAGCAACGCCGGAAGAAACGCCGAACAGUACCGCACUAAAGCGCGGAGUACUCGAGGCAGUGUGUUAGUAGGCAAGUGCGCGGUUUGUCUUAAAGUUUGAGCCAUGUCAGAAAUCAGAGGGGCUGAGUCCGCACUGAAAGUUGGAGAAAGGUCAAAAACAGCGAAGACGCCCGGCGGACAUGGCGAGGGUCGGGUUUAGACCACGGCGUUUUAAUCAGCUGCAUGAGACUCCGAGGCGAGCGCGAGCCGGUAAACCGCGCGGGGGGAACAGGAAAGAGGCAGCGAGCGGAAAAAGCCAGCGAGCUCCAGUCUAGAGAGAGAAGCGGCCGAGAGCGAUGCUCAAAGCUCACACCCCGUGUUCUUUGGGAAACGGUGUCCUAUGAUGAACAGGGAGCUGAGACAGUCAAGGAAUUGAGAAGAGCAGUGCAAGUGACUCUCAGGAUGCAUGCCUGCCAGUUUGUGGUUCCCACCCUCUCCCACUGCAAUUAUUUCAGUCUACUUUUGCUCUGACAUCAUUACAGCAGCUGCUUCUUUCUUUUUCCACAAGGUGGCGCAUUGUCUCCAAAUAUGGAAUUUAUAGACCUGAGUGUGUAAACACUUCCAACAGGAAAUUAUUUUGACCUGUUUUGAUUUUAAACUAAAAUUUAAAAGUGGAAAAAAAAAAACUACAAGAAAUUAUGUUUAUUUUGUUUGUGUCUUUGGGAUUAAGGUGUGUUUGGACCAUAUGAAAAAGAAAAUAUCCUAAAGGUAGCAGUUCUGUAUUAGAUAAUGUGGCAGAGAUGGGAUGAGACAGUGUGUGUAUACACACACAAACACACUGUAUAUUUAUUUACUCCUUAUGAAGUUCCUAGUCCACAUUUUGAACCGUCUUUUUACAAAGAAUAGCCAUGUUUUAUUUAUUACACUUACUUUUUGCCUAAGGAGGAAAAGAUGAUGUUCUUACUGUUAUGGCACUUGAAUCAGAAUUGCUGUUUUUUCUGUCCUUUGCAGAUAAGCAGCAUUUUGUAAAUAGAAGUGAUGUUUACACUGCGAGCUAAGAGAAAAGAGGAAAACAUUAUGGCUAGAAAACAAAGGAAAUGGAUGUCAGACACACUGAAGUGCCCCUAAAGCUAAGUGGUAUCAUUGCUGUGACUUGAAUUUGCAAGUUAUAUAUUAUUGCUUGUUUAUUAUUAUUAUUAUUAUUAUUAUUAUUAUUAUUAUUUGAGAAGCAAACAAUAAUAUGAGCUUGUAUUAUUUUCAUUGUUAUUAUUAUUAUUAUUAUUAUUAUUAUUAUUAUUCCUGUAAUGAAUUCAAUAAUCCAAAAAUAGCAAGUGCAUUUGACAAACAGAGUCAAGGGUACUGUUGAAAUAUACUGUGUACCCGAUCAUACUAGGAUUUAAGUUAAAAAUCCUUAGUUAAGUUAAAUUUAAGUGUGUUUUAAUGUGUACAUCUUGUCUAAUAAAUAAAAGUUUUUUUCAACUGUA